GUUUGUUUCACAGGUCAUCCAAGAAGGAGGAUUGAUUUCUGACUGUCCCUGCCAGCUUCCCACAACCAAAGUCAAUGGGUAUCUAGACUACUAGCAAAACUGGAUUUCAACCAUGGCAAAACAGCUUCCAUUCACCUCCACUUGAAUCCUGUCUUCUUGGACAUUUUUCCACAGAAGAAUAGAAGGAAGAACAAGCCUUCACUUCAAAUUACCAAAUAAAUUCAUAUAAACAAGGA